rnacentral:lncRNA from 1 species
CCAAUGGAGAAGCUGACAUGACCAAUAGGAUAAUACUAUAGGGUUUGAAAAUGAGAUUGGGACAAGCUAAAGGUCAGUGGACUGACGAACUCUACAAUCCCCUUUGGUCGUACUGAACAACUCCUCAGAUUCCAAGCAGAGAAACUUCUUUCAAAUUGGUAUUUAGGAUGAAAGUUGUGAUCUCGAUGAAAAUUGAUCUAUCUUCAACUUGGGUAGAACAGUACGAUGAAUCGACCAAUUCGGAUAGAUGACGAGCCGAUUUGGACUUACUUGAUG